UACGUAGGGUGCGAGCGUUGUCCGGAAUUACUGGGCGUAAAGAGCUCGUAGGUGGUUUGUCGCGUUGUUCGUGAAAACUCACAGCUUAACUGUGGGCGUGCGGGCGAUACGGGCAGACUGGAGUACUGCAGGGGAGACUGGAAUUCCUGGUGUAGCGGUGGAAUGCGCAGAUAUCAGGAGGAACACCGGUGGCGAAGGCGGGUCUCUGGGCAGUAACUGACGCUGAGGCACGAAAGCGUGGGGAGCAAACAGG
rnacentral:rRNA from 1 species